AGAGUUUGAUCCUGGCUCAGGAUGAACGCUGGCGGCGUGCUUAACACAUGCAAGUCGAACGAACCUUCGGGUUAGUGGCGGACGGGUGAGUAACGCGUGAGAAUCUGCCCUCAGGAGGGGGAUAACGGCUGGAAACGGCCGCUAAUACCCCAUAUGCCGAGAGGUGAAAUGAAUUUCGCCUGAGGAUGAGCUCGCGUCUGAUUAGCUAGUUGGUGGGGUAAGAGCCUACCAAGGCAUCGAUCAGUAGCUGGUCUGAGAGGAUGAUCAGCCACACUGGGACUGAGACACGGCCCAGACUCCUACGGGAGGCAGCAGUGGGGAAUUUUCCGCAAUGGGCGAAAGCCUGACGGAGCAACGCCGCGUGAGGGAUGAAGGCCUCUGGGCUGUAAACCUCUUUUAUCAAGGAAGAAGAUCUGACGGUACUUGAUGAAUAAGCCACGGCUAAUUCCGUGCCAGCAGCCGCGGUAAUACGGGAGUGGCAAGCGUUAUCCGGAAUUAUUGGGCGUAAAGCGUCCGCAGGCGGCCUGAUAAGUCUGUUGUCAAAGCGUGGAGCUUAACUCCAUUUCGGCAAUGGAAACUGUGAGGCUUGAGUGUGGUAGGGGCAGAGGGAAUUCCCGGUGUAGCGGUGAAAUGCGUAGAUAUCGGGAAGAACACCAGUGGCGAAGGCGCUCUGCUGGGCCAUAACUGACGCUCAUGGACGAAAGCCAGGGGAGCGAAAGGGAUUAGAUACCCCUGUAGUCCUGGCCGUAAACGAUGAACACUAGGUGUCGGGGGAAUCGACCCCCUCGGUGUCGUAGCCAACGCGUUAAGAGUUCCGCCUGGGGAGUACGCACGCAAGUGUGAAACUCAAAGGAAUUGACGGGGGCCCGCACAAGCGGUGGAGUAUGUGGUUUAAUUCGAUGCAACGCGAAGAACCUUACCAGGGUUUGACAUCCUGCGAAUCCCUUGGAAACUUGGGAGUGCCUUCGGGAGCGCAGAGACAGGUGGUGCAUGGCUGUCGUCAGCUCGUGUCGUGAGAUGUUGGGUUAAGUCCCGCAACGAGCGCAACCCACGUCUUUAGUUGCCAGCAUUGAGUUGGGCACUCUAGAGAGACCGCCGGUGAUAAACCGGAGGAAGGUGUGGAUGACGUCAAGUCAUCAUGCCCCUUACAUCCUGGGCUACACACGUACUACAAUGCUACGGACAAAGGGCAGCAAACUCGCGAGAGCUAGCAAAUCCCAUAAACCGUGGCUCAGUUCAGAUCGUAGGCUGCAACUCGCCUACGUGAAGGAGGAAUCGCUAGUAAUCGCAGGUCAGCAUACUGCGGUGAAUACGUUCCCGGGCCUUGUACACACCGCCCGUCACACCAUGGAAGUUGGCCACGCCCGAAGCCGUUACUCCAACCCUUGUGGAGGAGGACGUCGAAGGUGGGGCUGAUGACUGG
rnacentral:rRNA from 1 species